rnacentral:lncRNA from 1 species
CGAACUUCCUGGGCCUUCGAAGCGCGCAUGGAAGACGGAGGGCUGGUGUUCGGUGCCUGACAUCAGAACGCCACCCACGGCCCGCCUGGGCCGCCCCAAGUGAAGGUUUCAAGUGAAAGGUUUGCAUCUGUGGCAACUCACAUUAAAUUUUUGGAAUUCUGAACAAAAAGUCCGAAGUUUGAAACAUAGGAAGCAGAGUCUCAGUGGGUUUGGCUGCUGGAGAGACUCUUAAC